rnacentral:rRNA from 1 species
UACGAAGGGAGCUAGCGUUGUUCGGAAUCACUGGGCGUAAAGCGCACGUAGGCGGAUGUGUCAGUCAGGGGUGAAAUCCCGGAGCUCAACUUCGGAACUGCCCUUGAUACAGCACGUCUUGAGUCCGGAAGAGGUGGGUGGAAUUCCUAGUGUAGAGGUGAAAUUCGUAGAUAUCAGGAGGAACACCGGUGGCGAAGGCGGGUCUCUGGGCCGGAUACUGACGCUGAGGAGCGAAAGCGUGGGGAGCGAACAGG